UACGUAGGGUGCAAGCGUUGUCCGGAAUUAUUGGGCGUAAAGAGCUCGUAGGCGGUCUGUCGCGUCUGCUGUGAAAACUCAGGGCUUAACCCUGAGCUUGCAGUGGGUACGGGCAGACUAGAGUGCGGUAGGGGAGACUGGAAUUCCUGGUGUAGCGGUGAAAUGCGCAGAUAUCAGGAGGAACACCGGUGGCGAAGGCGGAUCUCUGGGCCGUAACUGGACGC
rnacentral:rRNA from 1 species